UUGGCCUGAGACCGAACUACUCAUUUCAGCCCUGGCCUUUUCCAUUCUGUUCCAGAGGCUGGGAUGCAGAGGCCAUAGUAACGCAGCUUCCACUGUGUUCAGUGUGGACGGAAGUCCGGGGGGUGAGGGAGCAGCUGGAGAGAAGGAACCGGAGUCUCCAGUGACUUCAUGUGAGCCCAGGCACGACCUGGCAGGUGUCCCAGGCUUUCUGUGAGGCCUGCGCUCCCUGAACGGGACAGGUGUCGCUCACGGUGGAAACGCCUGGCAGCGGCUCCCAACACGUGUUUCUCAUCUCGCCAGUGGGGCCGUGGACCGCCGCAGGCCCUACACCCACUGAUAAGCACCCUUAUAAAAGACAUGCAGAUGGAGAGGAAGCAGUGUGACCGUGGAGGUAGAGAUCGGUGUGGUCCCAGAAGCCCAGAAAUACUGAUCACCCCAAAGCUGGAAGAGGCCAGGAACAGAUUCUCCCCUGGAGUCCCCUGCAGGAUUUUGGACCAGUCCCCAGAACUGUGAGAGAAGUUUCCGUUGUUUUAAAGCACCUUGGUCACAGGAAUUCACACAGGGAUCAGUCGCAGUGGCUAAUCGUCAUCUCGUGGUUGACGUACCAGAAACCGAGCUCUGGGUUCCUCCAGAGGCCACUGUUCUCGUGAUCUUACUUGAGUCGUUUGUCCCCUUCCUUCCGGCUGCUCAGACUGAAACCUGGGACACAGACGUGAUUUUUCUUUCUCUCACGUGUCACAGUCAGACCAUCAAGCAAUCUUGGAGCUUCCAUCUUGAAAGCAUGGACCCAGAAUCUGAGCUCCCCUCCAUCCCCUCCAUCCCCUCCCCUGCUUCCGUAUGAUGGAUUAUUGCAGGGUCCUCCAACUGGUGUCUCUCUCUCUCUCUCUAUCUCUCUGCCCUUUUCUGAUUUUCACUCACCCAUUAUUCAUUCCAUUCCAGCCUCCUCAUUGUUCUAAUACCCCAGGGCCUUUGCACAGACUGCUUCAGUUCCCUUGAGCACCCUUCCCCUGACAGCCCCACCUUCACAUGUUUGCUUGAAUGUCACUUUCUCAAUAAGUUCUCUCUUGUCCACUCAUUUAAAAUACAAACACCUCCCCCAGCUUUCCCGAUCUUUCUUAUCCUGCUCUAUAUUUUCCCCAUAGCCCAUAACACCUUGUGUCACGCUGUGCCCUUUAUUUAUGCACUCUGUGUGUUUACUGUCCCUAUCUCCCCACCAGAAUGUAAACUCUAGGCCAGCAGGCAUUUUUACUUCCUUUAUUCCCUGAUAUAUCACCCAGCAAAGCGCCAGACUCAAUAUAGGCACUCGAUAAAUAUUUGUUGAAUAAAUAAGUGAAAUAAAGAAAGUG